rnacentral:rRNA from 1 species
AGCACGUGGUUUAAUUCGAUGACAAACCGAAGAACCUUACCUGGGUUUGACAUGUACGUGGUACGGAUAUGAAAGUUGAAGGACUCCGCUUUCGGGUGGAGAGCGUACACAGGUGCUGCAUGGCUGUCGUCAGCUCGUGUCGUGAGAUGUUGGGUUAAGUCCCGCAACGAGUGCAACCCCUGCAUUCAGUUGCCAUCGGGUGAAGCCGGGCACUCUGGAAGGACUGCCAUCGACAAGAUGGAGGAAGUGGGGACGACGUCAAGUCAUCAUGGCCCUUAUGUCCAGGGCGACACACGUGCUACAAUGGCCGGCACAACGGGAAGCGAGUUCGCGAGGACGAGCGGAUCCCUUAAAGCCGGUCGCAGUUCGGAUUGAAGUCUGCAACUCGACUUCAUGAAGCUGGAAUCGCUAGUAAUCGCAGAUCAGCCAAGCUGCGGUGAAUACGUUCCCGGGCCUU